AACCCCCUGAAAUCCUAUCGAACUUGCCGGAACGGAGGAUAUUCAGGGGGUCGUAAAGCAGGCGCUGGCCUGGUAAGGAUUAUAGCAAAUGUAUAAUCACAUACAACCCCUUU
rnacentral:ncRNA from 1 species